rnacentral:piRNA from 3 species
AAGGAGGGGUGAACCGGCCCAGG